rnacentral:rRNA from 1 species
UACGUAGGGCGCAAGCGUUGUCCGGAAUUAUUGGGCGUAAAGAGCUCGUAGGCGGUCUGUCACGUCGGCUGUGAAAACCCGGGGCUCAACCCCGGGCCUGCAGUCGAUACGGGCAGACUAGAGUGCGGUAGGGGAGACUGGAAUUCCUGGUGUAGCGGUGAAAUGCGCAGAUAUCAGGAGGAACACCGGUGGCGAAGGCGGGUCUCUGGGCCGUAACUGACGCUGAGGCGCGAAAGCGUGGGGAGCAAACAGG